rnacentral:lncRNA from 1 species
AUGGCGAUCUGUGUGUUUCUCUCACUCCAAGCUGCGCUGUUGAGAUCUGCCUUUCAGAAGCCUUUCUGCAGUCUCAUGAAUGGAUGGACACACUCUGACUUCCUCUCCCACAGAUGCUACCUCUCUCCAGGCGUAUCAUGGCUCCUGCAGCCAUGUCUGGCCUCCACAGAACACUCAGCACAGAGUUACCAAAGUAGGAGUUCAGGAAAUACCUUUGAAUGAAUGGAUGAUCUGAAAAACCUUUCUUUCAGGUAUAUUAAAGUCACAAAGAAAGAAAUUAGAAGGUAGGGGAAGGAAGCGCAGGAAGAUGAGUUGUUUCCUGGGAAGAGCACUGGG